CAAAAUUCUCUCUUUGAAGACUCUUCACUAUACAGCAAGUGGGUGGCAGAGGUUCAAGAGGAGGAGCAGGAAAAUAAAGGGUGAAGAAGACGAGGCGGCUUUAAUAUCAUAUGCAAGGGGGGUGGUGGCUCAGAUCUCCUUAUCAUCAUCAGAGAAAAGGCUAAGCCCGCCAUGGCUGCAAAAACCACUCUUCCGUGAUUUUCGCCCAGCCAAGAUACGAGCUAGCUCCAAAUCUGACACAAUCUAAGAAAGGAAGAUAUCAUCAAAGCCUCCAAUUACCAGUGGGAUACAGAAUUUAGGAUGGACUGGCCUGUGAAAUCAUGAGAGAUGUCUGACCUUUUUCUCGCAGCAUCAUGCAUCAUGAAGGGUUGUUUGUUUUUAGCAUUGAAAUCAUCGGCAGCAGCGUAAUUGCAGAGAGGGGCAACAACCCGUUCCCAAAAACUCCCAACCUCCCUGCCCCAAAUUACACUGCCUCAAUCGAAGAAGGAUUCUCCCCAUGGUUCAAAGACUCAGCAAGUGGGUGGCAGAGAUUCAAGAGAAGGAGAAGGAAAAAAUAAAAAGGGCAAAGAAGACGAGAAGGCUUUCAUAUCAUAUGCAACGGGUGGUGGUGGUGAAAUUUGGAGAGGAGAGUGAGGUAACCAGAAUGAAAGGCAGAUGGCUAAGGAUGGUCGAAGUUAAGCGCAGGUCCUUCGGUUGCUUUGAUCAGAUAUAUUGCCGAUCUGCUAUUGAAGCUGUACAGAGUAGUAUAAAGGGAUAAUUUCAGAAACCUCCAGAGGGGUUCAGGGUUGUUUGUUUGCAUUGAAAUGAAAUCAUCGGCAGCAGCGUAAUUGCAGAGAGGGGCAACAACCCAUUCCCAAAAACUCCCAACCUCCCUGCCCCAAAUUACACUGGCCUCAAUCCAAGGAUCUUCCCUACUCCCCCAAGGGAUUAGCAAUUUAGGCAUUUAGGGUUCAUUUCAGAAAACCCCCCCUGGGGAAA